AGAGUUUGAUCAUGGCUCAGGACGAACGCUGGCGGCGUGCCUAAUACAUGCAAGUCGAGCGGACGAAUCGAAAGCUUGCUUUUGAUUCGUUAGCGGCGGACGGGUGAGUAACACGUGGGCAACCUGCCCUGUAGACGGGGAUAACACCGAGAAAUCGGUGCUAAUACCGGAUAACACGAAAUGUCGCAUGACGUUUCGUUGAAAGACGGCGCAAGCUGUCGCUACAGGAUGGGCCCGCGGCGCAUUAGCUAGUUGGUGAGGUAACGGCUCACCAAGGCGACGAUGCGUAGCCGACCUGAGAGGGUGAUCGGCCACACUGGGACUGAGACACGGCCCAGACUCCUACGGGAGGCAGCAGUAGGGAAUCUUCCGCAAUGGACGAAAGUCUGACGGAGCAACGCCGCGUGAGCGAAGAAGGCCUUCGGGUCGUAAAGCUCUGUUGUUAGGGAAGAACAAGUAACGCAGUAACUGGCGUUACCCGUGACGGUACCUAACGAGAAAGCCACGGCUAACUACGUGCCAGCAGCCGCGGUAAUAC
rnacentral:rRNA from 1 species